GAUCCUGGCUCAGGAUGAACGCUAGCGACAGGCCUAACACAUGCAAGUCGAGGGGCAGCAUGGUCUUAGCUUGCUAAGGCUGAUGGCGACCGGCGCACGGGUGAGUAACACGUAUCCAACCUGCCGUCUACUCUUGGCCAGCCUUCUGAAAGGAAGAUUAAUCCAGGAUGGGAUCAUGAGUUCACAUGUCCGCAUGAUUAAAGGUAUUUUCCGGUAGGCGAUGGGG
rnacentral:rRNA from 1 species